rnacentral:lncRNA from 1 species
CAGGAAACUGUCAAAUGGGGCAUUUGGAAAUGACAGACAUCGAAUCAACAGGUUUGCUGCUGUUUUAGGAUUUGCCAAUUGUUAACAUAGUGGCGCAUCUGCUGUUUCAUAAAGGUCAUGCUGUCACAUAAUUCUUGUCUGCAGAGCUUCAUUCACUACAAGCAUCUGGAUCUCAGCUUCAUUUGGUCAGAGGUGAUUUGACUGCCAGCUUUUGUCUUCCUUGACUCCUUCGGGUAGG